CAGAGCCCGCCAGCCGCUAAAGCCAGGGCCACACCUGGGGGUGAUUUUAUGCCUCACCUCCAGUAGGCACCUUGGUCUGUCUCUUUGGGCUAAUCUCUGGCUCCUUUGCACUAACUCUUGCUCUCACCCAGCUAAUCCCUGCCUCGCCCUGGCUGCCCGGCGGGGGUGGGGGUGGGUGGGGGAGAGGGUUGCCCACUAACAGCCAACCCUGCCCAUCUGGGGGCUCCAGGCUCCUGGCCUGGCUCUGACCGGCUCUUAAUUAACCUCUCCUUCACCUUGACUAACUCCUGCCCUCCUGGUCUGUUCCUUUCAGCGGAAACUAACGGCUUGUGGAUUUCUUCCUGACUAACAACAGGUCUAACACUCCUUGUUACUGUUACUAUUAACAGCUUGGAUGUCGGCAUGGCUGGG
rfam:Felis catus isolate Cinnamon breed Abyssinian chromosome D3, whole genome shotgun sequence.